UGAACAUAAUGAGGAUUGUUUUAGUUGUUCCGAUUUAAUUUAUGAACGGAAUUGAUAACCUCCUACUCAUUCUGA
rfam:Helianthus annuus linkage group 14, whole genome shotgun sequence.